GGACUGGAGUCUGCAACCCGACUCCACGAAGUUGGAUUCGCUAGUAAUCGCGGAUCAGCAUGCCGCGGUGAAUACGUUCCCGGGGAUUGUACACACCGCCCGUCACACCAUGAGAGUCGGGAACACCCAAAGUCCGUAGUCUAACCGCAAGGAGGACGCGGCCUAAGGUGGGUUCGAUAAUUGGGGUGAAGUCGUAACAAGGUAAC
rnacentral:rRNA from 1 species